UGAGGAAUAUUGGUCAAUGGACGCAAGUCUGAACCAGCCAUGCCGCGUGAAGGAUGAAGGCGUUCUGCGUUGUAAACUUCUUUUAUUGGGGAAGAAACCUGAGAUUUCUAUUUCAGCCGACGGUACCCAAGGAAUAAGCACCGGCUAACUCCGUGCCAGCAGCCGCGGUAAUACGGAGGGUGCAAGCGUUAUCCGGAUUUACUGGGUUUAAAGGGUGUGUAGGCGGACUUUUAAGUCAGGGGUGAAAUCCCGAGGCUCAACCUCGGAACUGCCUUUGAUACUAUUGGUCUUGAAUCUUGUUGAGGUGGGCGGAACGGGUCAUGUAGCGGUGAAAUGCAUAGAUAUGACCCGGAACACCGAUUGCGAAGGCAGCCCGCUAAGCAAGCAUUGACGCUGAGGCACGAAAGCGUGGGGAUCAAACAGG
rnacentral:rRNA from 1 species